rnacentral:rRNA from 1 species
GACGAACGCUGGCGGCGUGCCUAAUACAUGCAAGUAGAACGCUGAAGAGAGGAGCUUACUCUUCUUGGAUGAGUUGCGAACGGGUGAGUAACGCGUAGGUAACCUGCCUUGUAGCGGGGGAUAACUAUUGGAAACGAUAGCUAAUACCGCAUAACAAUGGAUGACACAUGUCAUUUAUUUGAAAGGGGCAAUUGCUCCACUACAAGAUGGACCUGCGUUGUAUUAGCUAGUAGGUGAGGUAAUGGCUCACCUAGGCGACGAUACAUAGCCGACCUGAGAGGGUGAUCGGCCACACUGGGACUGAGACACGGCCCAGACUCCUACGGGAGGCAGCAGUAGGGAAUCUUCGGCAAUAGGGGCAACCCUGACCGAGCAACGCCGCGUGAGUGAAGAAGGGUUUCGGAUCGUAAAGCUCGGUUGUAAGUCAAGAACGGGUGUGAGAGUGGAAAGUUCACACUGUGACGGUAGCUUACCAGAAAGGGACGGCUAACUACGUG